GGGACAGAGAGUAUGGGUGGGCAACGGCCAAAUCCAAACACCAAGAGGGCUGAGACUGAAGCCCUCUACAAAGGACCUGUGCAGCCCACGGAACAACUCCGCAGUUCUCAGCUUGUUAUACUGAAAAGGACAUCAGGCCAUCUAUUGGCAAAUAAUUACUCACAACACGGGAGGUACCUGUCAGCAGGGCGUGCUGUAUAUUGAAUUCCCUAUACAAAGAAGCAGAGAUAUCAAUUGAGGAAAGCCAGCUUGGGGCUGAUAUAAAAACCAUCAGAUUAAGAUCUGGAC
ensembl:lincRNA